AUGGUGUAUACAGAUCUCCAAGGGCGACGCCACCACGUCAUGCUCCGGCCGCGUGGUGAGGUCAUCCUCUCAGUCGGUGCCAUCGGCAGCCCCCAACUGUUGAUGUUGAGCGGCAUCGGCCCAAACCACAGCCUCAUCAGAUGGGGCAUCCCGGUCGCUCACCACCUCCCGGCCGAUUGCAACGCCAUGCGCGACAACCCCCGGAAUGCUCUCUCCUUCGUCUCUCCUAUUCGCCUCCCACUCUCCCUCAUCCAGGUCGUUGUCAUCACCACCAAUGUCUUUCUAGAAGCCGCCUCCAACUUCCUCCCCUUCACCCCCCGCUCCUGCUCCUCAUUUCUUGCUCCUCGGUAUUCCUCUAUCCCACUCAACAUCGCUUCCGUUAUGGCGAAAAUUUCCGGCCCCCUGUCGAGCGGUUCCUUACGCCUGGCCUCCUCAAAUGUCUGCGACAAUCCAUUGGUGGGGUUCAAUUACUUUGAGGAGGGGUUGGAUUUGCAGAGGUACGUGGAAGGGGUGAGGUUGGUGGCUAGGGUUUUCAGGACGAGUGCAAUGGGCCAGAUCAAAUUCCCCGGGCAGCGUUUCAAGGAGAGGGAGUUUUGGUACUUGGACGACGUGCGGUUGCCGGCCAAUGUCAGCAACGACGAUGCGGUCAGUGAGUUCUACCGAAAAACGGUGUCGACGAUAUGGCAUUACCAUGGGGGUUGCGUUAUGGAGGAGGUGGUGGACGCUCAGUGGGGUGCAGGCCAUCAAGGACGUCGAUGGCUCCACCUUCUCGCAUUCGCCCGGGACCAAUCCUCAAGCCACGGUCAUGAUGCUCGAUCGGUACGUGGGAGUGGAGAUGUUGGAGGAGCGAAGGGCCAGCGAUAGAGACACAAAGAGCAGAGCGUGA